AUGACCCUCUUUUGUUGGAUAUUAUUUACUGUUGUUAGUUUGAAGCACUCCUCUGGUUUGAAGGAUAGAUACCUUUCUGGGAUCAAGUGCAUCCUAACUCACCUGCGCAGGAUAAUUAACCAAUGCAAGUCAAAGAAGGAUUGGCCAGUGUUGCUGGUUGGCGUCAAGUUCGAUCCCACGGUUCAGGAACUGAUCGAGCACCUUGAGGCCAAAGUGAGUGCUGACAGCGCGAGAUCUCACCCUCUCAUCGAUUUGUUCAUACCAACCAUCGACAGCGAGCACGGCAUAUGCUACACCCAUCCUGAGAAAUUUCCAGGUAUCACACUGAGUGGCCUAAGCAAGCAUUUCUUGCAGCGUAAUUCUAGGGCGUUCAAAAGGGGCACGCGGACGCGUCGCAAGAUACAGUCGUACCGGCAGACGGGCACCAUAAAGGUUCUGGUGCUGCACACCAACAAGAACUUCGACCAGCAGAGGACCAGCUGGGUGAUGCACUAG
rnacentral:rRNA from 1 species